rnacentral:rRNA from 1 species
UACGAAGGGGGCUAGCGUUGCUCGGAAUCACUGGACGUAAAGCGCACGUAGGCGGACUCUUAAGUCGGUGGUGAAAUCCUGGAGCUCAACUCCAGAACUGCCUUCGAUACUGGGAGUCUCGAGUUCGGGAGAGGUGAGUGGAACUGCGAGUGUAGAGGUGAAAUUCGUAGAUAUUCGCAAGAACACCAGUGGCGAAGGCGGCUCACUGGCCCGGUACUGACGCUGAGGUGCGAAAGCGUGGGGAGCAAACAGG